AUGGCGGCGCCGUUGGGCCUGGCGAGGCGGUUGCUGGUGCCCGUAAGGCUCCCGGAGCGCGCAUGGAAGCGUUCUGCCUUCAUUGUAACCAAGCAGCACGAUAAUGGACCCCAGUGGGUAAAAGUUGCAGUGACCUUGGGCGCAGCUGCAGCCCUGUGGCGCCUACUCUUCGUGAUACGCAAGAGGGAUUUGAAGGAAUAUGAAAGAAGACAAAAAGCACUAACCGAAACAUGUACAGACACUCAGACACCUCUUCGCCAGAUGUCAUCCGGCAGCACUGCCGCUGGCCCUCUUCGAUGGACUUCGGUUCUCUAUGCAGCUUCCGGUAUUUUUUCCGUUGGUGGCUUAUAUUAUGCUUACCGAAUAGUCAUGUCAAGCAAAGAGAGGUAUAAUGAACGGCUUCGUUAUACUGAAGAAGCACGUGAAAGGGAGCUGAAGGCUUGGUCACAAACCAAAAAAUAAGAUACAAGGGAAUUCUGUCGAGGAAGUAAAAUAGAAACAAAGGACAGUCGUUCACCAUUGCAUACCUCGCAGCCUACCUUGGGAUGACUUUAUGCCUUCUUUUGCAAACGCUCCGUCCUUGUGAGAUUUGAAAAGUAAUAUCUUUGUUUGUUAGGCCAGACCAUAUUGAGAUAUUGAAUAUGUCCUGUAGAAGGCAACUUUGAGAUUGUCAAGAAUCUGGCCGGUUUGAACGAAUGCUAUAUUUGACUGUCCAAUAAAGUGUACUGAAUGUUGAGCUUGGCUGUUUAG
rnacentral:lncRNA from 1 species